rnacentral:lncRNA from 1 species
UGAUCCCUCAGUUCCGCCAUGCCACUCCGCCGUGACCACUACGCCACACUAAUGCGCAGCCAUCAAGCUGCUAUCACUCGAGUCCUUUGAUCUACGAACCUGAAACAAGAUUAAGUUGUGAACCGCCACCGCAUACCGCCGAUGCACCACUGACCAGAGUUUUCGUUGCUGGCAUCUUCGUUCAUUGGAGUGGAUAUAGCUGGCAACACUAAUCGUCUCCGCGAAAGUAAUCCGUUUGCUCCGCUCUUCGGUGGUGCAAUAUGUUAUGGUUCCUAUGUUCGUUAAGGACUUCUUUUAUUAUUAUUUUGCUUUGCUUGGCUAAAUUA